UACGUAGGGGGCGAGCGUUGUCCGGAUUUAUUGGGCGUAAAGCGCGCGCAGGCGGUUCAUUAAGUCUGGUGUGAAAGCUCCCGGCUCACCUGGGAGAGGGCACUGGAGACUGGUGGACUGGAGCGAGGCAGAGGCCGGUGGAAUUCCCGGUGUAGUGGUGAAAUGCGUAGAGAUCGGGAGGAACACCGGUGGCGAAGGCGGCUUUCUGGACAGAUACCGACGCUGAGGCACGAAAGCUAGGGGAGCAAACAGG
rnacentral:rRNA from 1 species